GGAGGCUCAGAGACAGACAUUGUGUGAUACUGAAAAUCUCCUUCAACUCUUACCCUUCUCCUCGACUCCCAGAAUCUCUCUUUCUUUAGGGUUUGUUACAUAGGUAUACAUGUGCCAUGGUGGUUUGCUGCACCCAUCAACCCAUCAUCUACAUCAGAGGUACAAUAAUGAAAAAGAAAAAAAAAGUCUGAGAAACACGGUUCUGGAGCACACAUCUCUUCUGUGGCCUUGGAAGCUACCCACGAUAAGUGUUCCUUGAUCUUCCUCCCUCAGACACAGUUUCCUGAGGCAGCUGCUUCUCUCCCUGGUGUGCCCAGCUGAGACUUACCUGCCCUUGACAUUGGAGAAGAUAUGCAAAUAACUCCAUGAAUCCUUAGGGACCCAUCAUGGCUUCCCUUCAAGUAUUCAUUCUACCUGGGCACCCACACCCAAUCAUAGCUAAGUCUGGACUCACCUAGACGAUCUCAUCUGAAUCCUGCUGCAGGAAGAUGAGGCUGCCGGAUACUAUAUCCUCUUUAUAAACAGCAAUAAUAAUGUUGGUUAAAAUAGAUCUAGUGACUUACCCAAGAUGACAUAGCUAAUAUAUAGUAAGGUCAGGACAGCUUCCCCCAACAACACACACACUGGAAUGUUCAUUCUCUGAGGACAGGAGCCAUGCUGUUGCUCACUGGCAUGUUCCCAGGGCCUAGCACAGGCCCUGGCAUAUAGCAGGAGUCCAGUCAAUAUUUGUUAAAUGAACAGGGUUCUUUGAGCCUGGGGCUGUCAGAUUACCAAGACAAUGCAGGAAACUGUCAAAAAUAUGUGGGUCUAUUCAUCUGGCCCACAGUUGAUUUUACAUUGGCAGCUACCACCUUCAUUUUAAGAAGUGUAAAACAAUAGCUGCAGCCACUUCUUCAAGCACAAAGCUUAUCCCAAACUUCUGAGAGGCUUGCCAUGGAGUCCAAGGAUAGCUUGUUUCUAGGCUGUAUUUCAUUUCAAAUUAAGUGCAAUUAUUGUUAAAAGACAGGGUCGUCUUGUUAUUUAAGUCUCUUGUAUUAGGAACCCCAAAUUGUACACAGAGGUGAGACCACUCUCAUUUCUGUUUUCAAUAAAGUUUACACACAACACAAAUGCUCUUGCUAUGGGCUGAAUGUUUGUGUGCCCCCAAAAUUCAUUUGUUGGAACCUAAUCCCCAAGGUGAUGCUAUUAAGAGGUGGGGUAAGGUGGGGUUAUAGGGAGGUGACUGGGUCAUGAGGACAGUACCCCAAAGGAAGUCAUUCAUCCCGUCCCCCGUGUGAGGACACAGCAAGAAGCCACCAUCUA